AUGGAGCUGCUGACCGAUGCCCCAGCGCACCACUUCGUGCCGGACAAGUACGUCUUCCCGCCGGAGAAGCGCCCUGACCUGUUCCCCGAUGACGACAGCCCCAGUGUUGCCUUCCCCGUCAUCGACAUCCACCCCGACACCCUAUCUGAUGAACGCCGCCGCUGCUCGGUUGCAGCGGAGAUCAUCCAGGCCGGCAAGGAGUUCGGCUUCUUACAGAUGGAGAUCAUCACCAACGGGUUGCUGGCCAGUGUCGAGCACUGUGUGGUAACCAACACCACAGCAGCGAGGCUGUCGGUGGCAACCCUCAUCACUCCCAAGAUGGAGUGCCGCAUCGGCCUGCCGCCGGAGAUGGUGGACGAGGUGACGAAUCCAGCCAAGUACAGGGAGUUCAUGUUCAGUGAGUUCAUGGAGGCAUACGCUGCCGCUGACGCCAGCAGGGAGAGAGUCCUGGAGUCCUUCAAGAUCCACCACUAG
rnacentral:rRNA from 1 species